CGGGGUACACGAGCGGCGAACGGGUGAGUAACACGUGGGUGAUCUGCCUCGCACUUCGGGAUAAGCCUGGGAAACUGGGUCUAAUACCGGAUAUGACCUUUCAGUGCAUGCUGUUGGGUGGAAAGAUUUAUCGGUGCGAGAUGGGCCCGCGGCCUAUCAGCUUGUUGGCGGGGUAACGGCCCACCAAGGCGACGACGGGUAGCCGACCUGAGAGGGUGACCGGCCACACUGGGACUGAGACACGGCCCAGACUCCUACGGGAGGCAGCAGUGGGGAAUAUUGCACAAUGGGCGAAAGCCUGAUGCAGCGACGCCGCGUGAGGGAUGACGGCCUUCGGGUUGUAAACCUCUUUCGACAGGGACGAAGCGCAAGUGACGGUACCUGUAGAAGAAGCACCGGCCAACUACGUGCCAGCAGCCGCGGUAAUACGUAGGGUGCGAGCGUUGUCCGGAAUUACUGGGCGUAAAGAGCUUGUAGGCGGUUUGUCGCGUCGUCCGUGAAAACUUGGGGCUCAACCCCAAGCUUGCGGGCGAUACGGGCAGACUUGAGUACUUCAGGGGAGACUGGAAUUCCUGGUGUAGCGGUGAAAUGCGCAGAUAUCAGGAGGAACACCGGUGGCGAAGGCGGGUCUCUGGGAAGUAACUGACGCUGAGAAGCGAAAGCGUGGGUAGCGAACAGGAUUAGAUACCCUGGUAGUCCACGCCGUAAACGGUGGGUACUAGGUGUGGGUUUCCUUCCACGGGAUCCGUGCCGUAGCUAACG
rnacentral:rRNA from 1 species